GUCCUGGGGCAGAGGCUGAUGAGGGGGAGGUGAGUCCCAGGGCAGAGGCCGAUGAAGGGGAGGUGAAUACCUUGGAACAGAUUUGGACCUCGGUACUUUGUACCUAAGAUGGCGCCAUAAGAGGCGAAUUGUAAAGUUUUCACCAUAUAUUUCUAUAGAAAGUCAAGCGUGUGUUAAUAAUUCCUGGCAUUAACCCACGUCACAGUGGAGAGGCUUUGCUUCAGUAUCGGGCUCGACAUUCUGGUGAGUACGGUCUGCAUCACGUACGCAAUUCUGAGGAAACUCCCUUUCUGGGAGCGUGAGAUACUUUCAGCUUCAGGGAAAGAUGAUGCUGCACAACAGCCCCUGACUUCCUCUGCCCUGCUUUGGCCCCAUGUUUUUUCCGAUUUGAAAGGAGUAAACAGAUGUGGUCAUCUGAACAUUCGAGACUGUUGGAAAAUGGCACCAAGGAACAGGAGGAAUGGUGGGUGGAGAACUGGUAUAAAUCAGAGAAGAACUUUUAUUGUUUGUUUCAGAAGGAAGGCAAACACGUUUCCACUUGGCUGACACCUGGGAUGGUGAGGGGUUGGGGGAGUAGGGGCGUGGGGAUUGUCUUAUGAGGAAAAUUUGGACAGGCCCAGCCUGUAUCCAUUGCAGUUCAAAAGAAUGAGAUGUGAUCUUAUUGAAACAUAAAAGAUCAUGAGGAGACUUGACAGGAUGAAUGCCAAUUGUUUCCUCUUGUGAGAGAGAAUAAUGGAGACUGUUUAAAAAUAAAGGUCUCCUGUUCAAGAUGGAGGUGAAGAUGUGUUUUCCUCUCAUGAAUCUUGGGAACUUCCUUCCUAAGAAAUUGAUUGAGGUAGAACAGUUAAAUAUUUUUAAGAUGUAGAGGCACUGGUGUUGGACAGAGGUGGACAAAGUUAAAAAUCAUACAACACCAGG